UACGUAGGGUGCAAGCGUUGUCCGGAAUUAUUGGGCGUAAAGAGCUCGUAGGCGGUUUGUCGCGUCUGCUGUGAAAACUGGAGGCUCAACCUCCAGCCUGCAGUGGGUACGGGCAAACUAGAGUGCGGUAGGGGAGAUUGGAAUUCCUGGUGUAGCGGUGGAAUGCGCAGAUAUCAGGAGGAACACCGAUGGCGAAGGCAG
rnacentral:rRNA from 1 species